rnacentral:rRNA from 1 species
AUUGAACGCUGGCGGCAGGCCUAACACAUGCAAGUCGAGCGAGCGGGGGACGCGUGUGUAUUGUCUGGGAAACUCCCGGCUGGAGGGGGAUAACAACUGGAGACGGUAGCUAAUAACGCCUACCCUCAGAUGUUCCCCGAUUGGUUUAGGUAGUGGGUGGGGUAACGGCUCACCUAGGGGACGAUCCCUAGCUGGUCUGAGAGGAUGACCAGCCACACUGGAACUGAGCAACGGUCAGUACUCCUACGGGAGGCAGCAGGGGGGAAUAUUGCCCAAUGGGCACAAGCCGGAUGCAGACAUGCGGCGGGUGUAAGAAAGGCCUCCGGGUUGUAAAGCACUUUAAGCGGGGAGACGGUACCCGCAGAAGAAGCAACGGCUAACUCCGUGCCAGCAGCCGCGGUAAUUC